UCUCUUGAGAGCGGCGGACGGGUGAGUAAAGCCUAGGAAUCUGCCUGGUAGUGGGGGAUAACGUUCGGAAACGGACGCUAAUACCGCAUACGUCCUUCGGGAGAAAGCAGGGGACCUUCGGGCCUUGCGCUAUCAGAUGAGCCUAGGUCGGAUUAGCUAGUUGGUGAGGUAAUGGCUCACCAAGGCGACGAUCCGUAACUGGUCUGAGAGGAUGAUCAGUCACACUGGAACUGAGACACGGUCCAGACUCCUACGGGAGGCAGCAGUGGGGAAUAUUGGACAAUGGGCGAAAGCCUGAUCCAGCCAUGCCGCGUGUGUGAAGAAGGUCUUCGGAUUGUAAAGCACUUUAAGUUGGGAGGAAGGGCAUUAACCUAAUACGUUAGUGUUUUGACGUUACCGACAGAAUAAGCACCGGCUAACUCUGUGCCAGCAGCCGCGGUAAUACAGAGGGUGCAAGCGUUAAUCGGAAUUACUGGGCGUAAAGCGCGCGUAGGUGGUUUGUUAAGUUGGAUGUGAAAUCCCCGGGCUCAACCUGGGAACUGCAUUCAAAACUGACUGACUAGAGUAUGGUAGAGGGUGGUGGAAUUUCCUGUGUAGCGGUGAAAUGCGUAGAUAUAG
rnacentral:rRNA from 1 species